rnacentral:misc_RNA from 1 species
AACGGUCUAUACCUGCGGUACCUGCGGAAGGAUCAUUAUAGAGUGGUAAACCCUCCGUAAAAGGGGGGGACCUCCUGUCCUUUGUAGGCUCUUUUUUAAAGGGCUUUUUUAAUUUUCUGCUUCGGUGGGGUUAUCCCACCGGAACAACCUCAAAACUCUGAUCAAAAAAUCGUUCUGUCUGAGAACCUUUUAUAAUAAAAAAAAACUUUCAACAACGGAUCUCUAGAUCGGAAGAGCACA